rnacentral:rRNA from 1 species
UAAGACAGAGGGUGCAAACGUUGUUCGGAAUUACUGGGCGUAAAGCGCGUGUAGGCGGCUUAGCAAGUCGGAUGUGAAAGCCCACGGCUCAACCGUGGAAGUGCACUCGAAACUGCUUCGCUAGAGUCCUGGAGAGGAAGGUGGAAUGCUUGGUGUAGAGGUGAAAUUCGUAGAUAUCAAGCGGAACACCGGUGGCGAAGGCGGCCUUCUGGACAGUGACUGACGCUGAGACGCGAAAGCAUGGGGAGCAAACAGGAUUAGAUACCCUGGUAGUCCAUGCCGUAAACGAUGAGUGCUAGGUGUCAGGGGCUUUGACCCUUCUGGUGCCGCAGCUAACGCAAUAAGCACUCCGCCUGGGGAGUACGGCCGCAAGGCUA